rnacentral:rRNA from 1 species
GUAGGUGGCAAGCGUUGUCCGGAAUUAUUGGGCGUAAAGCGCGCGCAGGUCGGUUCUUUAAGUCUGAUGUGAAAGCCCACGGCUCAACCGUGGAGGGUCAUUGGAAACUGGAGAACUUGAGUACAGAAGAGGAAAGCGGAAUUCCACGUGUAGCGGUGAAAUGCGUAGAGAUGUGGAGGAACACCAGUGGCGAAGGCGGCUUUCUGGUCUGUAACUGACGCUGAGGCGCGAAAGCGUGGGGAGCAAACAGGGAUUAGAUACCCUGGUAGUCCACGCCGUAAACGAUGAGUGCUAAGUGUUAGGGGGUUUCCGCCCCCUUAGUGCUGCAGCUAACGCAUUAAGCACUCCGCCUGGGGAGUACGGCCGCAAGGCUG